GACGAACGCUGGCGGCGUGCUUAACACAUGCAAGUCGAACGGGAGUAUCGAAGAAGCUUGCUUUAGAGAUACUUUAGUGGCGGACGGGUGAGUAACGCGUGAGGAGCUGUCCAAUGCAGGGGGACAACAGUUGGAAACGACUGCUAAUACCCCAUAAGCCGAGAGGUAAAAGGAUUUAUCCGGCAAUGGAGGUACUCGCGUCCUAUCAGCUAGUAGGUGAGGUAACGGCCUACCUAGGCGAAGACGGGUAGCCGGCCUGAGAGGGCGAACGGCCACACUGGAACUGAGAUACGGUCCAGACUCCUACGGGAGGCAGCAGUGGGGAAUAUUGGGCAAUGGGGGGAACCCUGACCCAGCGACGCCGCGUGGGUGAAGAAAUCCUUCGGGAUGUAAAGCCCUGUUGUAUGGGAAGAGCGGAAGACGGUACCAUACGAGGAAGCCCCGGCAAACUACGUGCCAGCAGCCGCAGUAAGAC
rnacentral:rRNA from 1 species